GGAAGUGCGGUUCCUCUCGGUAUAUUGAGGUGGUCGAUAAGCAUGGUCAGAAGCAGCAGCUAAAAAUCCCUGUGAAGGUUCUUCGGUAUCUUGAUUUUAUAAAAAGACUACAGCGCCUUUUCAUCACCGAGGAGUCUGCCAAAAUGAUGAAGUGGCACAAGGAAGGGAAAAGGUACAAUCCAAAAAAAAUUGUACAUCCAUCAGGAGGUGAAGCAUGGAAGUCAUUCGAUAUAGAGUACCCGGAGGAAGCAGCUGAGGCUGGGAAUGUCAGAAUUGCUAUAACAGGUGAUGGGUUCAAUCCAUAUGGUAUGUCGUCUAAUCCAUACAGCUGUUGGCCCGUAUUUGUUAUUCCGCUGAAUCUCCCUCCCGGCGCCAUAAUGCAACGCAAGACCAUGUUCCUGUCGCUUAUAAUUCCGGGGCCUGAAUAUCCGGGGAAGAAUUUGAGUGUGUUUAUGCAGCCGUUGGUGGAUGAUUUGCACCAUUCUUGGUACUUCCCGAGGUUGACAUACGACCGACAUC
rnacentral:rRNA from 1 species